CUAACACAUGCAAGUCGAACGGUAACAGGAAGCAGCUUGCUGCUUCGCUGACGAGUGGCGGACGGGUGAGUAAUGUCUGGGAAACUGCCUGAUGGAGGGGGAUAACUACUGGAAACGGUGGCUAAUACCGCAUAACGUCGCAAGACCAAAGAGGGGGACCUUCGGGCCUCUUGCCAUCAGAUGUGCCCAGAUGGGAUUAGCUAGUUGGUGAGGUAACGGCUCACCAAGGCGACGAUCCCUAGCUGGUCUGAGAGGAUGACCAGCCACACUGGAACUGAGACACGGUCCAGACUCCUACGGGAGGCAGCAGUGGGGAAUAUUGCACAAUGGGCGCAAGCCUGAUGCAGCCAUGCCGCGUGUAUGAAGAAGGCCUUCGGGUUGUAAAGUACUUUCAGCGGGGAGG
rnacentral:rRNA from 1 species